rnacentral:rRNA from 1 species
UACGGGGGGGGGCGAGCGUUGUUCGGAAUUACUGGGCGUAAAGGGUUUGUAGGUGGCCUGCUAAGUCAGACGUGAAAUCCCUCAGCUUAACUGGGGAACUGCGUCUGAUACUGGCGGGCUUGAGGACAGGAGAGGAACGCGGAAUUCCAGGUGUAGCGGUGAAAUGCGUAGAUAUCUGGAGGAACACCGGUGGCGAAGGCGGCAUCCUGGACCAAUUCUGACGCUGAGGAGCGAAAGCCAGGGGAGCAAACGGG